CUACGGGAGGCAGCAGUGGGGAAUCUUGCACAAUGGAGGAAACUCUGAUGCAGCGAUGCCGCGUGAGUGAAGAAGGCCCUUGGGUUGUAAAGCUCUUUUGUCGGGAAAGAUAAUGACUGUACCCGAAGAAUAAGGUCCGGCUAACUUCGUGCCAGCAGCCGCGGUAAUACGAAGGGACCUAGCGUAAUUCGGAAUUACUGGGCGUAAAGCGCGCGUAGGCGGUUAAGUAAGUUAAUUGUGAAAGCCCAAAGCUCAACUUGGGAAUUGCAAUUAAAACUACUUAGCUAGAGUUUAUCAGAGGAAAGCGGAAUACAUAGUGCAGAGGUGAAAUUCGUAGAUAUUAUGUAGAACACCAGUUGCGAAGGCGGCUUUCUGGGAUAACACUGACGCUGAGGUGCGAAAGUAUGGGUAGCGAAGAGGAUUAGAUACCCUCGUAGUC
rnacentral:rRNA from 1 species